rnacentral:rRNA from 1 species
UACAGGGGGGGCAAGCGUUGUUCGGAAUUACUGGGCGUAAAGGGCUCGUAGGCGGCCAACUAAGUCACACGUGAAAUCCCCAGGCUUAACCUGGGAACUGCGUGUGAUACUGGAUGGCUUGAAUUCGGGAGAGGGAUGCAGAAUUCCAGGUGUAGCGGUGAAAUGCGUAGAUAUCUGUAGGAACACCCGUGGCGAAGGCGGCUCGCUGGACUGCAACUGACGCUGAGGAACGAAAGCUAGGGGAGCAAACAGG